UACGAAGGGGGCUAGCGUUGCUCGGAAUCACUGGGCGUAAAGCGCACGUAGGCGGACUCUUAAGUCACGGGUGAAAUCCUGGAGCUCAACUCCAGAACUGCCUUUGAUACUGGGAGUCUUGAGUUCGGGAGAGGUGAGUGGAACUGCGAGUGUAGAGGUGAAAUUCGUAGAUAUUCGCAAGAACACCAGUGGCGAAGGCGGCUCACUGGCCCGAUACUGACGCUGAGGUGCGAAAGCGUGGGGAGCAAACAGG
rnacentral:rRNA from 1 species